rnacentral:rRNA from 1 species
CCUACAGGCGGCAGCAGUGAGGAAUAUUGGUCAAUGGGCGCGAGCCUGAACCAGCCAAGUAGCGUGAAGGAUGACUGCCCUACGGGUUGUAAACUUCUUUUAUAAAGGAAUAAAGUGAGGCACGUGUGCCUUUUUGCAUGUACUUUAUGAAUAAGGAUCGGCUAACUCCGUGCCAGCAGCCGCGGUAAUACGGAGGAUCCGAGCGUUAUCCGGAUUUAUUGGGUUUAAAGGGAGCGUGGAUGGGUUGUUAAGUAAGUUGGAAAAGUUGGCUGCUCAACCGUAAAAUUGCAAUUGAUACUGGCAGCCUUGAGGACAGUUGAGGUAGGCGGAAUUCGUGGUGUAGCGGUGAAAUGCUUAGAUAUCACGAAGAACUCCGAUUGCGAAGGCAGCUUACUAAACUGCCACUGACAUUGAUGCUCGAAAGUGUGGGUAUCAAACAGGAUUAGAUACCCGGGUAGUC